AUAGAGACUCAGAGCUGCAUAUCAAUAAGCGGAGGAAAAGAAACUAACUAGGAUUCCCUCAGUAACGGCGAGUGAAGCGGGAAGAGCUCAAAUUUGAAAUCUUCAAGGUUCUACCUUGACGAAUUGUAGUUUAAAGAAGUGUUUUCUGUUGGAGUUUUGGUAAAAGUUCUUUGGAAUAGGACAUCAUAGAGGGUGAGAAUCCCGUAUUUGACCAUUAUUUCCAACUUUGUGAUACACUUUCAAAGAGUCGGAUUGUUUGGGAAUGCAGUCCAAAAUGGGUGGUAAAUUUCAUCUAAAGCUAAAUAUUGGCGAGAGACCGAUAGCGAACAAGUACCGUGAGGGAAAGAUGAAAAGAACUUUGAAAAGAGAGUUAAACAGUACGUGAAAUUGUCAAAAGGGAAGCGUUUGACACCAGUGUUGUUUUCUCGAAAAUCAAUUAGAAAUGAUGGGAUUUUGUGUUGUAUUGACUUUAUCAGCUUUCUGCACUUUUUUCUGAUCUUUUUUAAUGCACUUUUCGUUUAACAAGUCAACAUCAAUUUCUUUUGUUGUAAAAGAGUCAUUGGAAGGUGGCUUUUCUUUCGGAGAAAGUGUUUAUAGCCUUUGCUCUCUGCAAUCGGAGAGACUGAGGUCCGCAGCGUAGACUCUUCGGGGUUAGAUACAUUUGUGCUAAGUUAUAGCUUUGUAUAGACAACUUGUUGACUAUGAUUAGUCAUUGUAGCUUACUCGCUCUCGCUAUUUUACCUACGCUUAGGAUGUUGAACUCUAUCACACACA
rnacentral:rRNA from 1 species